AUUGAACGCUGGCGGCAUGCUUUACACAUGCAAGUCGAACGGUAACAGGCCGCAAGGUGCUGACGAGUGGCGAACGGGUGAGUAAUGCAUCGGAACGUGCCCAGUCGUGGGGGAUAACGCAGCGAAAGCUGCGCUAAUACCGCAUACGAUCUAUGGAUGAAAGCGGGGGACCGUAAGGCCUCGCGCGAUUGGAGCGGCCGAUGUCAGAUUAGGUAGUUGGUGGGGUAAAGGCUCACCAAGCCAACGAUCUGUAGCUGGUCUGAGAGGACGACCAGCCACACGGGGACUGAGACACGGCCCAGACUCCUACGGGAGGCAGCAGUGGGGAAUUUUGGACAAUGGGCGCAAGCCUGAUCCAGCAAUGCCGCGUGCAGGAAGAAGGCCUUCGGGUUGUAAACUGCUUUUGUACGGAACGAAACGGUCCUGGUUAAUACCCGGGGCUAAUGACGGUACCGUAAGAAUAAGCACCGGCUAACUACGUGCCAGCCGCCGCCGUAAGAC
rnacentral:rRNA from 1 species